AUCAUAAUUUCAACCCCGAGCUGGAGAGCCAAGCAGAGUGAAUCAAACAUUCAAGGUCUCUAGUUGGCAUGUUUGUUGUCUGAGAACAGUUUGCACGCCUCAACUAUUCCACUGGGCAUGCAUGUUAUUUCCCACCAGCACAAACAAUAACAACUUUACCGACUAAAGCUUAGACAAAUGAAAAUAUUACCUAAUUUUUUGUCUCUGCUGAGAUUAAGCCUCGGUUCUAGUGUUGGAUCAACUUUAUUAACUACUAGAUCAUACCCUUGAGAGUUCAUUCAAGGUUCCGGGCAUGCAUAUUAUUUCCCACCAGCACAGGCAAUAACAACUUUACCGACUAAAGCUUAGACAAAUGGAAAUAUUACCUAUUUUUUUG
rnacentral:lncRNA from 1 species